UCUAAUUAUUUAAUAGAUAUUGCCUAUCCAGAUUGUCUGUUUCUUCCUGUGUGAGUUUUGGCAGAUUGUAUCUUUCAGUGAAUUGGUUUACUUCAUCUAGAUUAUCAAAUCUGUAG